rnacentral:rRNA from 1 species
UGGGGAAUAUUGGACAAUGGGCGAAAGCCUGAUCCAGCCAUGCCGCGUGCAGGAUGAAGGCGUUAUGCGUUGUAAACUGCUUUUUAUAUAGGAAGAAAUAGUCCUUGCGAGGAAAGUUGACGGUACUAUAUGAAUAAGCACCGGCUAACUCCGUGCCAGCAGCCGCGGUAAUACGGAGGGUGCAAGCGUUGUCCGGAUUUAUUGGGUUUAAAGGGUGCGUAGGCGGCCCUGUAAGUCAGUGGUGAAAUAUCUCAGCUUAACUGAGAGGGUGCCAUUGAUACUGCAGGGCUUGAGUACAGAUGAGGUAGGCGGAAUUGACGGUGUAGCGGUGAAAUGCAUAGAUAUCGUCAAGAACACCGAUAGCGAAGGCAGCUUACCAAGCUGUAACUGACACUGAGGCACGAAAGUGUGGGGAUCAAACAGGAUUAGAUACCCAGGUAGUCCCUGAGCGGGCUGGCAAGGCGCAU